rnacentral:tRNA from 2 species
GGAGCUUUAGUUUAAUCAGGAAAAACACCAGACUCCAAAUCUGGAAGAUAAAGGUUCAAAUCCUUUAAGCUUCGCCA